CCAGAACACGCUAGCCUCGCACCCAGGCUAAUCGAACGCAUACUCUCGCACCCGGAUUGCCCGGUCGACCAGCGCCAUUUUGUUCUGGGCUGCCAAAGCGUGUUCGCCGGCGACCAGCAGACAUGGCUAGCGCUAGCUCUAGGACUCCAAAGUGCGGAAAUGUGCCCGUUCACGCGAAUCCAAAGUACAAGAAGUCAUCUGGGCAUCGUUGCGUCGUGUUUGGAUGCCAAAGUAACCAGCGGAAAAGGAGCAGGUUGCUUAGCGCUGUUUGCGAAGAGCACAAUACACGUAGGGAAUCGUGCGCCGGUGCGGUGUUUUCAGCCUGCACCGAUUUCCAUCCGCAACGAAGAAUGACAAGCUGCGCCACCGGUGGAUAGCUGCAGUGAAUAGGAAGAACUACCAACCCAGUGAAAAUGCACGAGUUUGCUCCGAGCACUUUCUGGACAAGCCCACAGAGCAGAAUGCCGCGCCGGUGCUUCGCCUUGGCUAUAACAAGAAGGCAAGCCUUUUCGUGUUUUCAUUCAGGCAGAGCUCCCGACGGUUAAGCGGAACAGUUGAGUUUGCGGUUAGCGAUACUUGCAGCUGCUGCACGGCAUGACCAUUAAGCGUGAACGACAAGUUGUAAACGAUAGUAUGUUGCCCUGCUGGUGAGCGUUAUUGCUAAUGAAAGUAAAACGAAGUCUGCUCGUCACGUAGCAUGCGUCGACAAAAACGUAAACGACGACUGCUCGUCGCCGAAGGCGUUCUUGCAGCGCGCCUGUCUUUACGAGCUGGUGUUGCAGGUGUCAUUCGUAACGAAUUCAUUUGAGCAUCCUGAGCUCUUAACUGCGUGCGGGCUGUUAUGCAGGGCAAAGCGCAAAAUUUUUCCGUUCAUAAGGCGAGGAAAAUAAGGUGCUUAAUUAUUGUUGUAUUUUGUAACAAAAUUUUGCUCGUUCUCACCAGUUUCUUUUACUGUUUUCUAAGGGAGCGCUAACAAUCCGAUAUGGCCUCGCACAAGCGAAACAGGUCUGAUACCAGGUAGCUGCAGUUGGUGGGGCUAAUUUUUUGGAAUGCAGGUGCGGUUGUUGUCUUGUACCAAAGGCUUCCCUGAUGAUGCAGCUUUAAGUAGGGAUGGUAAUUUUAUGUGCCCUGUCAUGGUUUGUGCAACUGUACAAAACCUGCAUCCGUCAUGCUCGCCCUGUUAUAUGGGCUUUGACUGCACAUAUAGUUGAACAUUAUAACUACUGUAGUUCCUCAUUUUCCAAUGAGUGCAGGUUUAGCAUCACAUGCUGCUUGUUCGAGUACUGUAGGCUUGUGUUCUUAAUGUUGUACUCUUAAGGGGUUGCACGAUACAAUUGGCCUGGUGCAUUUUCUAUUUCAUUUUGAGAGGACUUUAUGUCUUCGCAACAGUGAUGGCAUGGGAAAGAACUACAGCCCUUCUUACUAUAACAUAUAUAUUGUUUUCAAUGUGCAGGUGGUGAAGGGCAGGCGUCUGCUAAUCAGGCAGUCAAACGACCUCGCCAGUUGGUUGCCAAACGCGGCCAAGCCAGUAGUGACCAUGACAAACAAGACCAAACUGAAAGUGCAGAGGACAAUGUUCUGCGUGCUUUAAUAAAAUGUGGCACCAACACAGUGCUGUAACAUCCUUCA